rnacentral:rRNA from 1 species
GACAGAGGCCUCAAGCGUUAGGCGGAAUCACUGGGCUUAAAGCGUGUGUAGGCGGAUCGUUAAGUGCCUUGUGAAAUCCCACGGCUCAACCGUGGAACUGCUGGGCAUACUGGCGAUCUUGAGCCAUCUAGGGGCGACUGGAACAGACGGUGGAGCGGUGAAAUGCGUAGAUAUCGUCUGGAACGCCAAAGGUGAAAACAGGUCGCUGGGGAUGUGCUGACGCUGAGACACGAAAGCCAGGGGAGCAAACGGG